AGACGAACCGUCCAAACGUUAUUCGGAAUCACUGGGCUUAAAGGGUGCGUAGGCGGCCGUACAAGUCGGGUGUGAAAUCCCUCGGCUCAACCGAGGAAUUGCGCCCGAAACUGUGCGGCUAGAGGAAGACAGAGGUGAGCGGAACUGGCGGUGGAGCGGUGAAAUGCGUUGAUAUCGCCAGGAACACCAGUGGCGAAGGCGGCUCACUGGGUCUUUUCUGACGCUGAGGCACGAAAGCUUGGGGAGCGAACGGGAUUAGAAACCCCGGUAGUCC
rnacentral:rRNA from 1 species